AUUGAACGCUGGCGGCAGGCCUAACACAUGCAAGUCGAGCGAGCGGCGGACGGGUGAGUAAUGUAUGGGGACUGCCCGAUAGAGGGGGAUAACUACUGGAAACGGUAGCUAAUACCGCAUACUAUCGGAUAACCCAUAUGGGAUUAGCUAGUAGGUGGGGUAAAGGCUCACCUAGGCGACGAUCUCUAGCUGGUCUGAGAGGAUGAUCAGCCCGCCUGGGACUGAGACACGGCCCGGACGCCUACGGAGGCAGCAGUGGGGAAUAGUGCAAAAUGGGCGCAAGCCUGACCCAGCCAUGCCGAGUGUAUGAAGAAGGCAUUAGGGUUGUAAAGUACUUUUAGCGGGGAGGCGUUACCGGAAGAAGAAGCACCGGCUAACUCCGUGCCAGCAGCCGCGGUAAUAC
rnacentral:rRNA from 1 species